ACCGGCGGCUCGAGUGGUGGCCACUAUUACUGGGCUUAAAGCGUUCGUAGCUGGCUUGAUAAGUCUCUGGUGAAAUCCUUCGGCUCAACCGGGAGACGUGGCAGAGAUACUGUCAGGCUAGGGUUCGGGAGAGGUGAGGGGUACUCCAGGGGUAGGGGUGAAAUCCUGUAAUCCUGGGAGGACCACCUGUGGCGAAGGCGUCUCACCGGGACGGAUCUGACAGUGAGGAACGAAAGCCAGGGGAGCAAACCG
rnacentral:rRNA from 1 species